GACGAACGCUGGCGGCGUGCUUAACACAUGCAAGUCGAACGGAAAGGCUCCAGCUUGCUGGAGUACUCGAGUGGCGAACGGGUGAGUAACACGUGGGUAAUCUGCCCUGCACUCUGGGAUAAGCCUGGGAAACUGGGUCUAAUACUGGAUAUGACCUUUCUCCUUAUGGGGUUUGGUGGAAAGUUUUUCGGUGUAGGAUGAGCCCGCGGCCUAUCAGCUUGUUGGUGGGGUGAUGGCGUACCAAGGCGACGACGGGUAGCCGGCCCUAGAGGGUGAUCGGCCACAUUGGGACUGAGAUACGGCCCAGACUCCUACGGGAGGCAGCAGUGGGGAAUAUUGCACAAUGGGCGGAAGCCUGAUGCAGCGACGCCGCGUGAGGGAUGACGGCCUUCGGGUUGUAAACCUCUUUCAGCAGGGACGAAGCGUAAGUGACGGUACCUGCAGAAGAAGCACCGGCUAACUAUGUG
rnacentral:rRNA from 1 species